rnacentral:lncRNA from 1 species
AUCAAAAUCAGUUAAGAUAAACGUGAGAAGGAAAACAUUACUCUGAAAUGAUGGCUGCUGUUGGUCUGCAGAUUCCUAACUCUGGACAACAAAGAGCAAAGUCUGCUGAAGAGAAUGGAAAGAUUAGAUUUCUUCAAAAAGGGAACCAAGUUUCACCACCACCACCACUCCUUUAGCUUCUGGAUUUACCUACAACUCCUAACUUUCUCAGUGAAUUGCACAAGAAAUUCUGUGGACAAGAGCCCUGCUGACAACAGUCCCUCUUCUAAGCAGGUCCUUCCCGUAUGCUGAAUGAGGCAGAGGGGCCUAUAGGAAAAAAACUGAACGAACAUGGUGAUGAACACAUUUGUCUUUAAAACCCUGCUGAAACACAGCCAGAAAUUUCUGUAACGCUCUACCCUUGGUUAAUUUUGACAAGAUUGUAAGGUACGUAAUACCCAGUGAGAGCAGGCAGAAACUUUUGUAGUGUACGCUGUAGUAUGUAUUAGGCAUUCAGCCGCAUACAAAUAUUACUGUUAAAUGUUGCAAUACUAUUCUUACAUGAUACUUGCAUGAUAGUAACAAUCUUGUGUCAGUAUCUUUAAAAAAACUUAUAGUCAUGAUAAACUUAAGGCAUCUGUAGAAUAAAAUGACAAAAUAAAUUACCA